GAUGAACGCUGGCGGCGUGCUUAACACAUGCAAGUCGAACGAAGACAUCUGAGUGCUUGCACUUGGAUGGACUGAGUGGCGGACGGGUGAGUAACGCGUGGGUAACCUGCCUUGUACAGGGGGAUAACAGUUGGAAACGGCUGCUAAUACCGCAUAAGCGCACAGUACCGCAUGGUACAGUGUGAAAAACUCCGGUGGUGUGAGAUGGACCCGCGUCUGAUUAGCUAGUUGGUAAGGUAACGGCUUACCAAGGCGACGAUCAGUAGCCGGCCUGAGAGGGUGAACGGCCACAUUGGGACUGAGACACGGCCCAAAACUCCUACGGGAGGCAGCAGUGGGAAUNUGCACAAUGGGGGAAACCCUGAUGCAGCGACGCCGCGUGAGUGAUGAAGUAUUCGGUAUGUAAAACUCUAUCAGCAGGGAAGAUAAUGACGGUACCUGACUAAGAGCACGGCUAAAUACGUGC
rnacentral:rRNA from 1 species